rnacentral:rRNA from 1 species
GAUGAACGCUGGCGGCGUGCCUAAUACAUGCAAGUCGAGCGAACAGAUGAGGAGCUUGCUCCUCUGACGUUAGCGGCGGACGGGUGAGUAACACGUGGAUAACCUACCUAUAAGACUGGGAUAACUUCGGGAAACCGGAGCUCAUACCGGAUAAUAUAUUGAACGGCAUGGUUCAUUAGUGAAAGACGGUUUUGCUGUCACUUAUAGAUGGAUCCGCGCCGCAUUAGCUAGUUGGUAAGGUAACGGCUUACCAAGGCAACGAUGCGUAGCCGACCUGAGAGGGUGAUCGGCCACACUGGAACUGAGACACGGUCCAGACUCCUACGGGAGGCAGCAGUAGGGAAUCUUCCGCAAAGGGCGAAAGCCUGACGGAGCAACGCCGCGUGAGUGAUGAAGGUCUUCGGAUCGUAAAACUCUGUUAGUAGGGAAGAACAAAUGUGUAAGUAACUAUGCACGUCUUGACGGUACCUAAUCAGAAAGCCACGGCUAACUACGUG